GCGAGUUUGGCCGAGUGGUUAAGGCGUCGUGUUUAGGUUUAUUCGGCUCUGACCUGGUAUACCAUAAUUCCCGCGAUGGGAAACCGCGCAGGUUCGAAUCCUGCAGCUCGCA